rnacentral:rRNA from 1 species
AGUGAACGCUGGCGAUAGGCCUAACACAUGCAAGUCGAACGGCAGCACAGUAAGAGCUUGCUCUUACGGGUGGCGAGUGGCGGACGGGUGAGGAAUACAUCGGAAUCUACUUUUUCGUGGGGGAUAACGUAGGGAAACUUACGCUAAUACCGCAUACGACCUACGGUUGAAAGCAGGGGAUCUUCGGACCUUGCGCGAUUGAAUGAGCCGAUGUCGGAUUAGCUAGUUGGCGGGGUAAAGGCCCACCAAGGCGACGAUCCGUAGCUGGUCUGAGAGGAUGAUCAGCCACACUGGAACUGAGACACGGUCCAGACUCCUACGGGAGGCAGCAGUGGGGAAUAUUGGACAAUGGGCGCAAGCCUGAUCCAGCCAUACCGCGUGGGUGAAGAAGGCCUUCGGGUUGUAAAGCCCUUUUGUUGGGAAAGAAAAGCAGCAGGUUAAUACCCCGCUGUUCUGACGGUACCCAAAGAAUAAGCACCGGCUAACUUCGUG